UACAGAGGGGGCAAGCGUUAUUCGGAAUUAUUGGGCGUAAAGGGCGCGUAGGCGGCUUUGCAAGUGACGGGUGAAAUCCCUCGGCUUAACCGAGGAACUGCCUGUCAGACUGCAUGGCUUGAGACCAGGAGAGGUGAGUGGAAUUCCCAGUGUAGCGGUGAAAUGCGUAGAUAUCUGGAGGAACACCGGUGGCGAAGGCGGCAUCCUGGACCAACACUGACGCUGAUGAGCGAAAGCCAGGGGAGCAAACGGG
rnacentral:rRNA from 1 species